rnacentral:rRNA from 1 species
UACGUAGGGGGCAAGCGUUGUCCGGAUUCAUUGGGCGUAAAGAGCGUGUAGGCGGUCCGGUAAGUCAGCUGUGAAAGUCAAGGGCUCAACCCUUGAAAGCCGGUUGAUACUGUCGGGCUAGAGUCCGGAAGAGGCGAGUGGAAUUCCCGGUGUAGCGGUGAAAUGCGCAGAUAUCGGGAGGAACACCGAUGGCGAAGGCAGGUCUCUGGGCCGAUACUGACGCUGAGGAGCGAAAGCGUGGGGAGCGAACAGG